UACGGAGGAUGCGAGCGUUAUCCGGAUUUAUUGGGUUUAAAGGGAGCGUAGGCCGGCUUUUAAGUCAGCUGUGAAAGUCCGCGGCUCAACCGUGGAAUUGCAGUUGAAACUGGAGGCCUUGAGUGCACACAGGGAUGCCGGAAUUCAUGGUGUAGCGGUGAAAUGCUUAGAUAUCACGAAGAACUCCGAUUGCGAAGGCAGCCUGCUGGACUGUAACUGACGCUGAUGCUCGAAAGUGUGGGUAUCAAACAGG
rnacentral:rRNA from 1 species